UGGGGAAUAUUGCACAAUGGGCGCAAGCCUGAUGCAGCCAUGCCGCGUGUAUGAAGAAGGCCUUCGGGUUGUAAAGUACUUUCAGCGAGGAGGAAGGCGUUGUGGUUAAUAACCGCAACGAUUGACGUUACUCGCAGAAGAAGCACCGGCUAACUCCGUGCCAGCAGCCGCGGUAAUACGGAGGGUGCAAGCGUUAAUCGGAAUUACUGGGCGUAAAGCGCACGCAGGCGGUCUGUCAAGUCGGAUGUGAAAUCCCCGGGCUCAACCUGGGAACUGCAUCCGAAACUGGCAGGCUAGAGUCUUGUAGAGGGGGGUAGAAUUCCAGGUGUAGCGGUGAAAUGCGUAGAGAUCUGGAGGAAUACCGGUGGCGAAGGCGGCCCCCUGGACAAAGACUGACGCUCAGGUGCGAAAGCGUGGGGAGCAAACG
rnacentral:rRNA from 1 species